rnacentral:rRNA from 1 species
GAAUAGGGCGUUUAGUAUUUGGUCGUAGACCCGAAACCAGGUGAUCUACCCUUGGUCAGGUUGAAGUUCAGGUAACACUGAAUGGAGGACCGAACCGACUUACGUUGAAAAGUGAGCGGAUGAACUGAGGGUAGCGGAGAAAUUCCAAUCGAACCUGGAGAUAGCUGGUUCUCUCCGAAAUAGCUUUAGGGCUAGCCUCAAGUGAUGAUUAUUGGAGGUAGAGCACUGUUUGGACGAGGGGCCCCUCUCGGGUUACCGAAUUCAGACAAACUCCGAAUGCCAAUUAAUUUAACUUGGGAGUCAGAACAUGGGUGAUAAGGUCCGUGUUCGAAAGGGAAACAGCCCAGACCACCAGCUAAGGUCCCAAAAUAUAUGUUAAGUGGAAAAGGAUGUGGCGUUGCCCAGACAACUAGGAUGUUGGCUUAGAAGCAGCCAUCAUUUAAAGAGUGCGUAAUAGCUCACUAGUCGAGUGACACUGCGCCGAAAAUGUACCGGG